UACGGAGGGGGCUAGCGUUGUCCGAAGUUACUGGGCGUAAAGCGCGCGUAGGCGGGUUGGUAAGUCCGCUGUGAAAGCCCGGAGCUCAACUCCGGAGGGUCGGUGGAUACUGCCAGUCUUGAAGGUGCUAGGGGGAGAUGGAAUUACCGGUGUAGCGGUGAAAUGCGUAGAUAUCAGUCGGAACACCGGUGGCGAAGGCGGCUUCUUGGGCCGUUUCUGACGCUGAUGCGCGAAAGCCAGGGGAGCGAACGGG
rnacentral:rRNA from 1 species